CCCGCAGGUCUCAGCCGCGGCCGCGAGUGCGCGAAGCAAUUAGAUGGGAAUAACCCGAGUCCUCAAAAAGCCGCGAAGAAAACUCACCAGCUCCAGAGACGGUUCAGAAACAAAGUGUAUUUUGCAGGGAGGGUGAAGUCUGGAAAUAGUUGU
rfam:Myotis brandtii contig273669, whole genome shotgun sequence.